rnacentral:rRNA from 1 species
GAUGAACGCUGGCGGCGUGCCUAAUACAUGCAAGUCGAGCGAACGGACGAGAAGCUUGCUUUUCUGAUGUUAGCGGCGGACGGGUGAGUAACACGUGGAUAACCUACCUAUAAGACUGGGAUAACUUCGGGAAACCGGAGCUAAUACCGGAUAAUAUUUUGAACCGCAUGGUUCAAAAGUGAAAGACGGUCUUGCUGUCACUUAUAGAUGGAUCCGCGCUGCAUUAGCUAGUUGGUAAGGUAACGGCUUACCAAGGCAACGAUGCAUAGCCGACCUGAGAGGGCGAUCGGCCACACUGGAACUGAGACACGGUCCAGACUCCUACGGGAGGCAGCAGUAGGGAAUCUUCCGCAAUGGGCGAAAGCCUGACGGAGCAACGCCGCGUGAGUGAUGAAGGUCUUCGGAUCGUAAAACUCUGUUAUUAGGGAAGAACAUAUGUGUAAGUAACUGUGCACAUCUUGACGGUACCUAAUCGGAAAGCCACGGCUAACUACGUG